UACAGGGGGGGCAAGCGUUGUUCGGAAUUACUGGGCGUAAAGGGCCAGUAGGCGGCCAACUAAGUCCGACGUGAAAUCCCAAGGCUUAACCUUGGAACUGCGUCGGAUACUGGAUGGCUUGAAUUCGGGAGAGGGAUGCAGAAUUCCAGGUGUAGCGGUGAAAUGCGUAGAUAUCUGGAGGAAUACCGGUGGCGAAGGCGGCAUCCUGGACCGAGAUUGACGCUGAAUGGCGAAAGCUAGGGGAGCAAACGGG
rnacentral:rRNA from 1 species